AACGAACGCUGGCGGCAUGCCUAACACAUGCAAGUCGAACGAGACCUUCGGGUCUAGUGGCGCACGGGUGCGUAACGCGUGGGAACCUGCCCUUAGGUUCGGAAUAACUCCCCGAAAGGGGUGCUAAUACCGGAUAAUGUCUUCGGACCAAAGAUUUAUCGCCUUUGGAUGGGCCCGCGUUGGAUUCGCUAGUUGGUAGGGUAAAAGCCUACCAAGGCGACGAUCCAUAGCUGGUCUGAGAGGAUGAUCAGCUACAAUGGGAAUGAGACACGGCCCAGACUCGGACGGGAGGGAGCAGUGGGGAAUAUUGUACGAGGGGCGAAAGCCUGAUAAAGCAAUGCCGGGUGAGUGAUGAAGGCCUUAGGAUUGUAAAGCUGUUUUACCCGGGAUGAUAAUGACAGUACCGGGAGAAUAAGCACCGGCUAACUCCGUG
rnacentral:rRNA from 1 species